UACGUAGGGCGCAAGCGUUGUCCGGAAUUAUUGGGCGUAAAGAGCUCGUAGGCGGUUUGUCGCGUUCUGCUGUGAAAACCCGAGGCUCAACCUCGGGCCUGCAGUAGGGUACGGGCAGACUAGAGGUGUGGGUAGGGGAGACUGGAAUUCCUGGUGUAGCGGUGGAAUGCGCAGAUAUCAGGAGGAACACCAAUGGGCGAAGGCAGGUCUCUGGGCCGACAACAUGACGCUGGAGGAAGCGGAAAGCAUCGGGGAGCAAACAGG
rnacentral:rRNA from 1 species